rnacentral:rRNA from 1 species
GGAAUACAGAACGCCGGGCUUCGGCCUGGUUAUUCAUAACCCUUUGUUGUCCGACUCUGUUGCCUCCGGGGCGACCCUGCCUUCGGGCGGGGGCUCCGGGUGGACACUUCAAACUCUUGCGUAACUUUGCAGUCUGAGUAAACUUAAUUAAUAAAUUAAAACUUUUAACAACGGAUCUCUUGGUUCUGGCAUCGAUGAAGAACGCAGCGAAAUGCGAUAAGUAAUGUGAAUUGCAGAAUUCAGUGAAUCAUCGAAUCUUUGAACGCACAUUGCGCCCCCUGGUAUUCCGGGGGGCAUGCCUGUUCGAGCGUCAUUUCACCACUCAAGCCUCGCUUGGUAUUGGGCAACGCGGUCCGCCGCGUGCCUCAAAUCGUCCGGCUGGGUCUUCUGUCCCCUAAGCGUUGUGGAAACUAUUCGCUAAAGGGUGUUCGGGAGGCUACGCCGUAAAACAACCCCAUUUCUAAGGUUGACCUCGGAUCAGGUAGGGAUACCCGCUGAACUUAAGCAUAUCUAACGGCGGGAAGGAA